ACUUGCAGGAUCUGACACAUCCUCUUGGUUUCCUAAGUCUUAUGACUAGCCAAUGCCUGAAAUAAUGAACUCCUCCAAGGCAAGAAAUCUGUUUUGAAGCUUCUCUGCGUUCACACACAGCAGCCUGGUUUCCUGGAAGGGCAUUUUCCACAUUGUGCGUUAUGGAUGAUCAUCCCAGGCAUCAGGUGUGAAGCCCUGCAUCCACAUCCAGGGGCUAUCAAAUCUCUCUGCAAAAGGAGAAGCUGGACUCAGGCUGGAAUGCAGGGAUGCGAUCUCGGCUCAAUGCAACCUCUGCCGCCCAGGAUUCAAGCGAUUCUCCUGCCUCAGCUUCUUGAGUAUCUGGGAUUACAGGCACCUGCCACCACGCCUGACUAAUUUUUGUAGUUUUAGUAGAGCCAGGGUUUCACCAUCUUGGCCAGGCUGGUCUUGAACUCCUGACCUCGUGAUCCACCCACCUUGUCUUCCCAAAGUGCUGCGAUUACAGGCGUGAGCCACCGUGCCCGGCUGACCAGUAUCUUUCAUGUUACUAUUGUAAUUGUUUGGGGUCACCACGAACCGCACACAUAUAAGACAAUGAACUUAAUCAAUAAACGUGUGUGUUCUGAUUGCUCCA
ensembl:lncRNA GAPLINC gastric adenocarcinoma associated, positive CD44 regulator, long intergenic non-coding RNA